CAGCCCAGCAACAAUGACCCAACAUCAGCAAACCGACCCGGCCCAUCCCUUUCUCCUCUUUAAACGUUAACAGCAACAUCAGCAACAAUACGCAGCUUCAACAAAUGGCGAAACUCCUUUACAAUAACUGCGUUUAGCAACAACAAACACCCAGUUUCAUCCCAACAACGUUCAACCAACAACAACACGUACAACGCCACCAAUAUCAAUAAAAAACCCUAGCUGUUCCCCCUACAAAUACCAAUUUACCCCUUUAUUCAUCCAUUCAUGGUCAAAAUUCAGAAACUUUCAUCUUCUUCAGUUGGUGAUUCACCUUUUUGGGUAAGAAAUUAAUUUUCCUUUUGACCAAUAAGGCCAAACAGAUCUUUCCUAUAUGGAUGUCAAAAAAUUUUAGAAACAGAUUUGAAAAUUUCAAGUUGAAGUCCACUCUUUCAAAAUAAGACCUUCCCCUAUAAAAGAGAGCAAGGUUGAAGGGUGAAAUAGAGGAUUUUGGGGGAAAAUAGGGGUUCUGAAGGAUUUUGGAGAAAUAUUUUAACCUCACGAAAUCAAAAUUCUCGAAGAACGCAUUCGGAAAAAUCAAUUUCGAUGUAAAGUGAAGUUCGACAAGUUCAAAUCGAAUCGGUGACGGAAGUUUGUCUCCGAUUUGCUGCCCAAAAACAGGUGCGAAACCUCGUAUCGCUGCAUUUUUUUCUCUUUCCAUGAUUUGACAUUGAAAUAUGAAUUCCAUUAUAUCGAUGAAUUUUUGAGGCCUGAAGUUUAUGCUUUAUGUGUUUCUUUGUUAUUCAAAGAGUUAAGGUUUGGUUUGUCGAAAAAUGUUCGUUGAAAAUCCUUACAAUGUUCGUUGAAAAUUUUUACUUGAAGAUUCAGCUUACAUCCUUUCGAUUAUGAUAUGGUUGAUGAUUUAGGGUUGAGUUGCUAAGAUCAAGCUUAAGACAUGGUAGUAAUUUUAAGUCUCUUAAUAAUGUUUGUUUGUUAAUAACUGGUAUAUGAGAUAUGUCCGUGUAUUUGGCGUUAGUUGAGAUUGAUUAUCCUAUCUCUGUGAGCGUUUAAAAUGUUUUACCUUCAUAUGUGUGAUAACUUGUUUUAGGUGAUAAACUUUUAGUCUAUAAACUUCGAAAGUCCAUUUUGUUCUUAUGACCGAUAGCCAAAACGAGGUUGUAUGAAUUGAGUGGAGGGAGCGACCUUUUAUUUGGGAAUAUGACCUACAGUUGAUGUGCUAUGUGUGUAAACCUUGAGUUUUGGUUUCUUUUUUUUUUUAAAUCAAGCCCCAGCUGAAGAACCUCACGCUACUUUGUUGGUGACCAAAAUUUUGUUGGAAAUAGCUUUGAAAUUGUGACUACAUAGAUAACAGAAGUGCAGUAGGUGCAAGAGGUGGAAAAAUUCAAAAUAGUUAGGAUCAACUAUUCAUUCCCUUCUACCCAGAAACUAUCCAUUAUCAUGUUUUUGUUAUCUGCCAUACUUGUAUUGCAUAGGGGUUUGCUUGAUCUUAUUUUAUUCUGUUGAUUUUCCUCUCGGGUCUUGAUUAGGACGCAUGUACUUAAAAAGUGCUACCACUUUAAAAUUUUUUUUUUUUAAAAAAAUGAUAUAUUCAAUUGGACCUUAUAUUUUGGACCCAAUUAAAGCCACACACGGUUAUAGUAUAUGGAUUAGUUAUUUGAGAUGCCCAUGGUCAAAUUAUAGAUUCCAUUUGCUUUUAUUUAUUUCCUCUUUCGUCAUAUAAUUGCUUGGUUCUUUUUGUAAUACAUUUAUUUAAGUUAUAGAAAGUCAAUAUAAAUAUAUGGCUAGUAGUAUAUGCGUCAGUUAAAUUCCGUAAAAAUCCUGUGAUAACGUUGGUUGUAACGUAUUUUUGACCUUUAUACCUAAUUUGAGUUGCAAAUUACGUAUUCUAAUUUGUGUCUCACGGCAGACAAGGGUGCAUUAGUUUCGCUUUUUCUUUCUUUCAUUUAAAUUUUCAUUCUUAUAGCAUAUGUAUACUAAUUCUUAUCCUUUUAUCUUUUGUGUAUGAACCCGCUCGAGUCCUUCUUGGACUCUUUCCUCGCAUUCUUGUUGGAUCCUACCCAACAUCGAGUCAAGCCUCACUAGGGUCCGAAAAUGAACGAUAUACAUUGGAGGAUCGCUGAUAUCGGUGCACAUUAAAAGUUUAGGUGCUCAGUCCCAACCUCGUCAGUGAUUUUCGAAUACCUCUAUCUACAUUCCUACAGUGGUGAGUCCUCAUGGUUUGAGGACCUAUAUUUAGACAUCUCCAUAUUUUGAGAGACUAUGUUGUUAUUUCCAGUUCAUUUCGAGUCAGUUGGGGACUUGUCCCAACGGCUCUCUAGUUCAUGAAUUAGUAGAGGCUUUGUCAGACUAGUUAUCAGAUUGUAGUUGUGUUGAGGUUUCCGAUAUUGCUUGGUCAUUUAGAUCGAGCAUUUUCUCCGUAUUUUCUUUCAUAUGAUAUGACUAUGCUAGUGUUUGAA